CCAUGCAGUCGAACGAUGAAGCCCUUCGGGGUGGAUUAGUGGCGAACGGGUGAGUAACACGUGGGCAAUCUGCCCUUCACUCUGGGACAAGCCCUGGAAACGGGGUCUAAUACCGGAUAACACUUUCCUCUGCAUGGGGGAAGGUUGAAAGCUCCGGCGGUGAAGGAUGAGCCCGCGGCCUAUCAGCUUGUUGGUGGGGUGAUGGCCCACCAAGGCGACGACGGGUAGCCGGCCUGAGAGGGCGACCGGCCACACUGGGACUGAGACACGGCCCAGACUCCUACGGGAGGCAGCAGUGGGGAAUAUUGCACAAUGGGCGAAAGCCUGAUGCAGCGACGCCGCGUGAGGGAUGACGGCCUUCGGGUUGUAAACCUCUUUCAGCAGGGAAGAAGCGAAAGUGACGGUACCUGCAGAAGAAGCGCCGGCUAACUACGUGCCAGCAGCCGCGGUAAUACGUAGGGCGCAAGCGUUGUCCGGAAUUAUUGGGCGUAAAGAGCUCGUAGGCGGCUUGUCGCGUCGGAUGUGAAAGCCCGGGGCUUAACCCCGGGUCUGCAUUCGAUACGGGCAGGCUAGAGUGUGGUAGGGGAGAUCGGAAUUCCUGGUGUAGCGGUGAAAUGCGCAGAUAUCAGGAGGAACACCGGUGGCGAAGGCGGAUCUCUGGGCCAUUACUGACGCUGAGGAGCGAAAGCGUGGGGAGCGAACA
rnacentral:rRNA from 1 species